AGGAGUCUAACUUGCUCGCAAGCAGCGCAUCAGCGAAAGGUAUCAGUUAGGAAUGAAGGUGAAUGUCUGAAUUUAUAAUGCGAGGCGAAAUUUAAAAGAAUUUGGCUGCAUCACUAUCGCACGACAUUCGAUGGUCGCUUCGCGAGACUAUUUGGAGUCAUGCAGAUGGAGCGUAUAUGUCGGUGCUGGGAAGAUGGUGAACUCUGAGCAGAACGAAGACGGAGGAAAACUGUUUAAGAGUAGAUUCGUAGUGAUGUUGACGUGCAAACGUCAGAUUUGUAUAUACUGAAUGAAUAACCNNNNNNNNNNNNNNNNNNNNNNNNNNNNNNAACCAUCUAGUAGGUUCUCCGAAGUUUUCCUCAAGAUAGCUGGCGUCGGAAUGAUUAGUUUUAUGCGGUAAAGUGAAUGAUUAGAAAUAAUGGAGAGUAAACAUUUUCAAACUCUGAAUUGGUUAGGUAUGCCGCUGUCGUACGGAUGAAACUUCAAUGACUAGUGACCCGAUUUUGGUAAGUAGAACUAGCAGUGUGGGAUGAACCAAACGUCGAGUUAAGGCGCCUAAUACGAACGUUUAACAGAUACCAUGAAAGGUUAGUUAAUAGAGACAACAGGCAGGAUAAUGGCCAUGGGAGCUGGCAUUCAUUAAGAAGCGUGUCGCAACUCACCUGCCGUGAAGUGUGGAUGGCACUAAUACCUGUAGCCUAUAUCGGACCGCUCGUGUUUGUGGUGUUGCACGACCGACUGAAGUCGAGAGUUGGAAAAGCGCGACGAUGUGCUACAAAAUCAGUGCGUGAGCCUUGUACGACCCAUCGUAGCUGAGUCUCU
rnacentral:ncRNA from 1 species